ACUACGAAAGAACCUAACCUACUCUUGACAUCCAGAGAAUUUAGCAGAGAUGCUUUGGUGCCUUCGGGAACUCUGAGACAGGUGCUGCAUAAAAAUAGUCAGCUCGUGUUGUGAAAUGUUGGGUUAAGUCCCGCAACGAGCGCAACCCUUAUCCUUUGUUGCCAGCGAUUCGGUCGGGAACUCAAAGGAGACUGCCGGUGAUAAACCGGAGGAAGGUGGGGAUGACGUCAAGUCAUCAUGGCCCUUACGAGUAGGGCUACACACGUGCUACAAUGGCGUAUACAAAGAGAAGCGACCUCGCGAGAGCAAGCGGAACUCAUAAAGUACGUCGUAGUCCGGAUUGGAGUCUGCAACUCGACUCCAUGAAGUCGGAAUCGCUAGUAAUCGUAGAUCAGAAUGCUACGGUGAAUACGUUCCCGGGCCUUGUACACACCGCCCGUCUCCACGUGGAGUGGGUUGCAAAAGAAGUAGGUAGCUUAACCUCGGGAGGGCGCUACCACUUUGAGCAUUUGGG
rnacentral:rRNA from 1 species